rnacentral:lncRNA from 12 species
AUGAUUCAAAAACAAAACAAAACAAAAAAACCACAAAAACACAAAAAUACAAAAAAAAAAAAACAACACAAAAGAAAACUCACAGUGAAGAUUUUGCAAAUGUGGCAUAGGUCAGGGCUAUGCUUUUCCUGUGUAUUUUGGCAUGCUCUCUUACAUCUUCAAUAUGGAUGGAUAUUUCAAUGUGAACUUCCUCGAUGCAGUUCCUAUUGGGUUGGCCUCACAGUCACCUUCUCUGUUGGGUACCCAGUCACAGCCCAGCUGGUCACAGAGGCCAGUGAGGCUGCAAUUACAAUGACCAGCAGAAGGUCCUUGGGAUGCUGCAGUCCUGUCUGCAUAGCAGAAGGAGAGGGCAGAGAGGAUGUUGGGGUUUAGGUCCAACAUCUGUUCUAGUUCAGUAGCACAUCACUAGGCCACGCCGCAGACCAUAUCCUAGACCUCAUCAUUACCCAAAAGGCGAGUUAAAAUCACAAAUCCAAACUCUCCUCUCUGGUGGGAAGCAGAGAAAAGCACUGACCAAAACCAAAAACCAGACUGACCAUAGCUGUGCCAUUUUUGAGUUAUGUGACCUUGCACACAUGAUUUAACCACUUCCUACCUCAGUUUCCUCUUACAUAAAACAUGGAAAGUAACAGAAUAUCCCUCUUGGGGUUAUUUUUGAAUUAAUUGCUUAGAAAGAUGACCGGCCUAUAGUAAGUGCUAGCUCAUGCUACAGUUUUUUUUUCUCUCUUUCUCCUUUAACACUUGCUUUUUAAAUUUUUUUUUAUUUUUUUUAAGUUUUUAUUUUUAUUUCUGAUAGUCACAGAGAGAGAGAGAGAGAGAGAGAGAGAGGGAGAGAGAGAGAGAGGGAGAAGCAGGCUCCAUGCACCGGGAGCCCGAUGUGGGAUUCGAUCCCGGGUCUCCAGGAUCGUGCCCUGGGCCAAAGGCAGGCGCCAAACCGCUGCGCCACCCAGGGAUCCCAACACUUGCUUUUUAAAACCUACUUGAUAUCUCCCAAUUUCAGGCCCUUCCAUUUUUUUCCCUAGUUUUCUUCGGUUUUCACCCUCUCUUCUAUUUUAAUCUAGAUGCUAGACCUAUCUCCUCAACUCGUCACUGGCCAAAUCCUUCAAUUCCUUUCUUUUCUGUCCUGUGUAUCUGGAAAAACCAUAACCCUGAGUCAGUCCAACUGUCUAACUCGCUGGCCUCCUGCUCUAACCUCUCCCUUCCCCAGUCACAGCUGAACAGGUACUUUUCCUUUAGUAUGAGGCAAAUCCCAUCUCUCCCCACCUCUCCUCAGGUAAAUGAUCCUAUCUCCUCUAUCUUCAAUGUAGUCUAGUGGCUUCUUCCUUCCUUCUCAUCAGCAUUAAACAUGCUCAGUUUCUCCCACUAUAGGACA